GACGAACCGUGCGAACGUUGUUCGGAAUCACUGGGCUUAAAGGGCGCGUAGGCGGUCUGCCAAGUCUGGGGUGAAAUCCUCCGGCUCAACCGGAGAACGGCCUCGGAUACUGGCGGUCUCGAGGGAGGUAGGGGCGUGCGGAACUAAGGGUGGAGCGGUGAAAUGCGUUGAUAUCCUUAGGAACUCCGGUGGCGAAGGCGGCUCGCUGGAUCUUUUCUGACGCUGAGGCGCGAAAGCUAGGGGAGCAAACGGG
rnacentral:rRNA from 1 species